GGGUGGGUGGCAGAGAGGUCGAUUGCAGCGGUCUUGAAAACCGCCGACGGGUAACCGUCCAAGGGUUCGAAUCCCUUCUCACCCG
rnacentral:tRNA from 1 species